UUGCAGCUUCCAAUGUGUUUUUGUAAAAAGUUAAUUUGAUUAUACAGAAUGUGGAUGGGGAAAAAUGGAGGCAUAAGAGUUAUGUCAAUGUGUUCUUGGCUCGGUGAACUUGAAUAUCUUCUAUAACUUACUUGCAUAUCUUGCUGUCUUUUACCUAUCUCCAUUCAGAUAUGCCUAAAAGUACUCUAUCUUUUCUUUAUUUAAAUCAGCUUAGAGUUUCAUCUUUCAGUGUCAAACUCUUUCUGAAUAAGCUGUAAAGAUGUUUUACUGCUGAGCACCUUACAUGGUUGGUUACUCUUCUCCCAUACCUGUGUCAUCAGUGCCAUCAAGGUAGUGACUAUAACACAAAAUAAUUAUGGGUGGGGAUAAAAUAUUACACUACUGAAGACAAAGAAAGAUAAUAAAUGGUCCCUUCUGUUCAUUGUCUUAGAAUUUGAGCUGUACCUACAUUUUUCUGUCCACACAUGGUACAUGAUAUGGAUGUUGCUGCUGUGGCAUUGUGGUCUUCGCAGACUAUAUUGUUCUGCUCCAAGGUCAUCCAUGUCGCUCCAGAGACACAAGAGCACUUUAUAAACGUGCUGUAGAUGUAGGUCUGGGACUGAAAUGUUUUCACUGAAUAUCCACAGUCAGAAGAGUUACAGUGUAGUCAGCCAUUCUCGCUUUCACAUUAUACUUCCUAAACGUUGGCAUUAGACUUAAAUUGUGAGGCGCAUAGUCGUCCGAUAUGCACAUAGGUCCUAGGAUACUGGGCUGGUUGUUGCUGUAUUCCAGCUUUAUAUAUUUGUUAUGAAACAAGGACUAAAAGGUUAAAGUGCCAACUGUCAGCUUUAAUUUGCAACCACAUCAAAUGAAUUGUGAAGGAGUUGUAGCCCUUUUAUACAUAGCCCCAAUUUUAGGUAGAAAAAGUAAUUGGACAAAUGAAAACAACCAGACAUAGAGCAGACAAAUGUAAUAUUUGGUGUAAAAUACUUUGCAAACUGUGAGUGGAGAGCCACAACAACGAAGACUGCAUCACUGUCUGGAUAUGGGCUGUAGCGUACGCUGGCUUGGUCCUGAGUCUGUGAACUUGCCUAACGUAUAUUUUGCAUAAUCUACCUGCAUAUCUCGCAUACAGAGCUGUCUUUAACUGAUUUCUGGUCAGAUAAGUAUUCAUCUUCAUUCAAAUUGGAUAGACAAGCAGGUGUUGCCUGUCCACCUGGACACUAUAUAAUGAACUCACUGUAAGCAGGUUGCAGCUUCAGAGAAUUUCCUCCACUGAAGACAUCUUCACCAAGUGGUGCCGUGACUCAGACGACCAUCUCCUGCCUGGACCACAGCCGGUGAACUGACCAACCUACCAGCCAAUCGUUCAUCAGCCGAGCAAGAAAUAAGUGAAUCAUGAAGAUCCAGAUUGCCUGUUUGCUGCUGGUGCUGCUCUGUGCCACAGAGGUCUCUGGGGCUCUGACCUUUUAUGAGAGGCAUGCCAUUGAAAACAUGAUGCCGAAAGAUUGUACUAGAGUGAUGAAAGAGAGGAAUAUCCACAAUAACAACAAUAAAUGCUCAAAUGCGCAAAUGACUUCAUUCUGGCCAAUAACGAAUUAAUCAACGCUGUCUGUGCACAAAAUAAGCAACAAAGUACCGAACGCUUUAAAGUUGUUGCCUGUACACAUAAAACGGAACCUUUCCUGAUUGUGUCUACAUCGGUAAUGCUUUAAAUACAAAAAUUAAACUUGGCUGUGAAGGUGGUCAACCUGUGAAAUAUAUUGGUCCAGUUGCUUAAACAUCUGCUAUGUGCUUCAUUUUGUUGUCAAGCAUAAAAAUCUGAAGUAUGAUGUUUACAUUUUAACGUGGUUUUGAAUAUGCUUCUCAUGAUUUAUCUUCUGUUUGCUUAAAAAUAAUAAUAAGGGAUUGUGAGAAGAAAAUGUUUUCUGUGAAUAUACAAACAAUCUAGAGUCACAAGCAUUAUGCUGACAUGUUCUUCACUCAGUUACCUUGCAUAUCUUUCCUGUACUCAGCUGGUCUUCAUUCAUACUGUAGCAAACAAGCAAGUUUUUGCUGUACUCGUAGAAUAAACUCACUAAAACCAA